rnacentral:rRNA from 1 species
GACGAACGCUGGCGGCGUGCCUAAUACAUGCAAGUCGACCUUAGUGGCGAACGGGUGAUUAACACGUGGGUAACCUGCCCCUCAGAAGGGGAUAACACUUGGAAACAGGUGCUAAUACCGUAUACUGAUGGAUGGACCAGCGGUGCAUUAGCUAGUUGGGGAGGUAACGGAGAACCAAGGCCACGAUGCAUAUCCGACCUGCGAGGUGUAUCGGCGACAUUGGGACUGAGACACGGCCCAAACUCCUACGGGAGGCAGCAGUAGGGAAUCUUCGGCAAUGGACGAAAGUCUGACCGAGCAACGCCGCGUGAGUGAAGAAGGUUUUCGGAUCGUAAAACUCUGUUGUUAGAGAAGCGGUAUCUAACCAGAAAGCCACGGCUAACUACGUGCCAGCAGCCGCGGUAAUUC